CUCUAGUCCAGUUCCAGAAAGAUGAAGAGAAUUCUAUUCUGCCCACCUGACUUUGUCACCUGCAGAACCUGUACUCACUACGUAUGGUUCUAGAAUUCUUAGUAUAUUCCCUGAAACUUGCCCAGGUUGUCACAUGUGCUACUGGAAGUGUGAUGAAAGUGCAGGAGCUGCAGCAGCCCUCAGACCGGUGCCCUCCCACCGUCGACGGCUUCUUCCGUUCUGCGUCAACAGUUCUCGCACAGGUUUGACGAGCCCCUAAACCUGUCAGCUUCUCCUGCCACUAGACGUUUACCCCUUGCUGUGCCCUCCUGACCGGGAGCCUCCUGCCAGCAGAUGCUUCCUCCGAGGGGAACCCUCCCUUCCCCCAUGUGUCUUUGGCACCAUCAGCUCCUUUAGAUGUCCGGCCUCCAACUCUGAGAGCUCUUCUCUCCGGGUCCCGAGCAAGCAGGCACUUGUCUGCCUCCUGGCCCAACUCUCUCUGUUCCAGCGGGUCAGAGAGACAGACUUACAUAGCUCUGCCUGCUGUGUCUGCCCGUUCACUCACUCGAUAGCUAUUCCACAAGAGCCUGCUACAGUCCAGGCGUUGUCCCAGGAGCAGGAGAGACAGGAAUGAAAAAGGCUGACAACAAACAAAUACACAAGUGAUGCUAUCGUGUGUCAGCUGAAGAGAAUGAGCCACGGAGAGAAGAACAAAGCCAAGUAAGGAGGAUGUGGAGGGUCAGACUGGCAGCCAGAGAAGGUCUCACCGAGGAGCUGAUGCUUGAGCCGAGAACUGACGGAGGUGAGAGAGUGAGCCAUGAGGGCAACUGGAGGAAAAACAUUUUAGGAAGAAGGCUAGUAAGUGCAAAGGCCCUGAGGCAGGAUUUCAUCUAAUGUGUUUGAGGAACAGCAAGGAGGCCAGUGUGGCUGUAAAGGAAUGAGUGACACUGAAGCUCUGAGAAUGAAGUUAUGCAGGCUGACGUCGUGGCUGCAGUGUUGGGGACCCGAGCUCCUAUUUUUUUUCUCUCUGUCAUCAGAACAGAGCUUCUGGAUCGUGGUUUAGACGGACAGUUGAGCCCCACGCUCACUCUACCAGGAGAGAGAAAGAGAGAGAAUGUCCCUUUCCUUUACAGGAAAGACCCAAAUGUGGCAUGUGUCACUUCCUCUCGCAUCCAUUGCCCAAAACUCAGUCACAAGGCCACACGUAGUUGCAAGGGAACAAAUGUGGCUUUUAGCUCGGCAGCCACACAUCUACCUAGAACUCGGGAGUCUGUGCUAAUGGACGGUGCUGGGGUGCAGCCACUGAGAGUGCAGUGGGAGAGGCUCUGAGGCAUUCAGGUGGCACUGCUGAGGAGGUGUGGGUACCCUGAGCCUGGAGGUGAGGGUUCAGUACAACCGGGAGUCACUAGCACAGGGUGGGUAUUUAAAUCCAUGCCUGAUAAUCACCCCAAAAGCCACAUAGACAGAGAAGUGGACCAGGGCUGGGCCCUGGGGUGAUCCAGCAGCUCAGAGUUGAGGACGUGAGGACAGACCAGCAAAGGAGACCGAGAAGGAGACACCACUGAGGAAAGAGGAGAACCAGGAAGGAGCGGGAUUUUGGAAGCUGACUGGCAAUUAUGUGCCUCCGUUUUUAGCAGCCCUGGCAGGUGACUGUCUAUUUCUGGCCUCUCGAACAGAAGUUUUCGGCUUGCUACAUAGCCUGCAUUUUAAAUGUGGUGCUCACAUUUGAAGAAUACCCACCCAGUCAUUUUAACGUGACUCAGUAAACAGCAGCAAGACAGAAACUGCACUCUAUUUUGAUAGAUUAUCAGAGUUUCCACAAUGCCUUAUAGUGAUUUAUGUGUCUUCUCUUCACAUAAUACAGAAGAUGCUGUGUCUUCUUUAACUCUGUGUGUGUUUAACCUUUCCCUCCUCAACAUGAUGCCUGGCAUGUAACAGAUGCUCAAGGACUAUUUCUGAAUGGAUGGAGACAUGCUUUUCUCCCCAGCUUUGGUCAUCACGUGUGUGCUGCAUUUUAUCUGUUAACACGUUCUCCCAUCCUGCCCUCCUACGCUCCCCUCUGGACAGACAGCGAUACGCCUGGGAGUGACUUUUCCUGGAUUCCUGUGCAGCAUGGCUCAGUUAGAUCCAGCCUGUGAGAGGCACCGUGUGAGAUCUGGAGGGGGGAAAGGAGAGGGCGUGCUUCCCUGGGCGGAGCUGUGGCUGGGCCUGAGACGAUGGUGGACAGCCACUAUGGGGCUGGCCAGUGACUUCUGGCGUCCUUGUGUGCUCCUAGGAAUGACCAUUUGGUGCUGCAGUCAGCUGAGAACAUGGGUGAUGGCCUCUCUGCAGUUCCUGCAUGUUCAGAUUUCCUGAAACUGACUGUUAUGGAUUGAACUGUGUUCCCCCAAAAGAUAUGUUGAGGCCCUAACCCCUCCUCCCUCAGAAGGUGACUUCAUUUGGAAAUAGGGUCUUGGCAGAUGAAGUUAGUUAAGAGGAAGUCGUGCUGGAGUAGAGUGGGCCCUAGUCCAAUGUGACUGGUGUCCUUAUAAAAAGUAGAGAGAGCCAUACCAGAGGAGGGUGCCGUGUGAUGACCAAGGCAGAGACUGACGUGUGGUAACUGCCGGCCAAGGAAUGCCAAGGAUUGCCAGCCACCAGCUGGAGCCAGGAGGAGAGGAGGCAAGCUUCUCCAUGCCAGGUUUCAGAGUGAGCUUGACCUUGCUGACACUUUGAUUUCAGACUUCCGGUGUCUGGAACUCUGUUGUUGAAAGCCCCCAGUCUGUGGCACUUUGUUAUGGGAGCCCUAGAAAACGGA
rnacentral:lncRNA from 1 species